GACGAACGCUGGCGGCGUGCUUAACACAUGCAAGUCGAACGAAGAGCGACGGAAGCUUGCUUCUAUCAAUCUUAGUGGCGAACGGGUGAGUAACGCGUAAUCAACCUGCCCUUCAGAGGGGGACAACAGUUGGAAACGACUGCUAAUACCGCAUACGAUCUAAUCUCGGCAUCGAGGAUAGAUGAAAGGUGGCCUCUACAUGUAAGCUAUCACUGAAGGAGGGGAUUGCGUCUGAUUAGCUAGUUGGAGGGGUAACGGCCCACCAAGGCGAUGAUCAGUAGCCGGUCUGAGAGGAUGAACGGCCACAUUGGGACUGAGACACGGCCCAGACUCCUACGGGAGGCAGCAGUGGGGAAUCUUCCGCAAUGGACGAAAGUCUGACGGAGCAACGCCGCGUGAGUGAUGACGGCCUUCGGGUUGUAAAGCUCUGUUAAUCGGGACGAAAGGCCUUCUUGCGAAUAGNGAGAAGGAUGAC
rnacentral:rRNA from 1 species